UAGAGUUUGAUCCUGGCUCAGGACGAACGCUGGCGGCGUGCCUAAUACAUGCAAGUCGAGCGGACAGAUGGGAGCUUGCUCCCUGAUGUUAGCGGCGGACGGGUGAGUAACACGUGGGUAACCUGCCUGUAAGACUGGGAUAACUCCGGGAAACCGGGGCUAAUACCGGAUGGUUGUUUGAACCGCAUGGUUCAAACAUAAAAGGUGGCUUCGGCUACCACUUACAGAUGGACCCGCGGCGCAUUAGCUAGUUGGUGAGGUAACGGCUCACCGAGGCAACGAUGCGUAGCCGACCUGAGAGGGUGAUCGGCCACACUGGGACUGAGACACGGCCCAGACUCCUACGGGAGGCAGCAGUAGGGAAUCUUCCGCAAUGGACGAAAGUCUGACGGAGCAACGCCGCGUGAGUGAUGAAGGUUUUCGGAUCGUAAAGCUCUGUUGUUAGGGAAGAACAAGUACCGUUCGAAUAGGGCGGUACCUUGACGGUACCUAACCAGAAAGCCACGGCUAACUACGUGCCAGCAGCCGCGGUAAUACGUAGGUGGCAAGCGUUGUCCGGAAUUAUUGGGCGUAAAGGGCUCGCAGGCGGUUUCUUAAGUCUGAUGUGAAAGCCCCCGGCUCAACCGGGGAGGGUCAUUGGAAACUGGGGAACUU
rnacentral:rRNA from 1 species